rnacentral:siRNA from 1 species
CCAUCUUAUGUAGUUUUCCAACA